GCCAACGAUCAUACCACGUUGAAUACACCAGUUCCCGUGAGAUCACUGAAGUUAAACAACGUCGGGCGUGGUCAGUACUUGGAUGGGUGACCGCUUGGGAACACCACGUAUCGUUGGCUCUU
rnacentral:rRNA from 1 species